GAUGAAUGAAGCAGAUGACGCUCUACCCUAUGAGAAUCCAAUCACAACUGUCGUGUCUGUGGGCGAGUUUUGGGAAUAUUAUCACAGGAAAAAAGCCUCUGAUGGAUUCAGCGCCGAAUACGCUAAAUUUCCUGCGGGGUUACAGGCAAAGCACGACGUGGCAGAUCUGCCAUGCAACAAAAUCAAGAGUCGAUACAAAAAUCUAGUAGCAUACGACCAUUCGCGCGUGGUUCUAAAACCCUCGAACAAAAGUGGACAGUCGGAUUAUAUCAACGCCUCGUAUAUUAAUG